UACGUAGGGGGCUAGCGUUGUCCGGAAUCAUUGGGCGUAAAGCGCGUGUAGGCGGUCCGGUAAGUCCGCUGUGAAAGUCGGGGGCUCAACCCUCGGAUGCCGGUGGAUACUGUCGGGCUUGAGUACGGAAGAGGCGAGUGGAAUUCCUGGUGUAGCGGUGGAAUGCGCAGAUAUCAGGAGGAACACCAACGGCGAAGGCAGCUCGCUGGGACGGUACUGACGCUGAGGCGCGAAAGCGUGGGGAGCGAACAGG
rnacentral:rRNA from 1 species